rnacentral:piRNA from 1 species
AAUGGCUGCUGGACAUGAACUCCA